rnacentral:rRNA from 1 species
UGGGGAAUUUUCCGCAAUGGGCGCAAGCCUGACGGAGCAACGCCGCGUGCGGGACGACGGCCUGUGGGUUGUAAACCGCUUUUAACAGGGAAGAAAUAUUGACGGUACCUGUUGAAUCAGCAUCGGCUAACUCCGUGCCAGCAGCCGCGGUAAGACGGAGGAUGCAAGCGUUAUCCGGAAUUAUUGGGCGUAAAGCGUCCGCAGGUGGCCGUUCAAGUCUGUCGUCAAAGCCCAGGGCUCAACUCUGGAACGGCGGUGGAAACUGAAUAGCUAGAGUGCGGUAGGGGCAGAGGGAAUUCCCAGUGUAGCGGUGAAAUGCGUAGAUAUUGGGAAGAACACCGGUGGCGAAGGCGCUCUGCUGGGCCGCAACUGACACUCAUGGACGAAAGCUAGGGGAGCGAAAGGGAUUAGAUACCCCCGUAGUCC